rnacentral:rRNA from 1 species
AUUAAUUCGAUGCAACGCGAAGAACCUUACCUGGUCUUGACAUGUACGGAACCCUCCAGAGACGGAGGGGUGCCUUCGGGAGCCGUAACACAGGUGCUGCAUGGCUGUCGUCAGCUCGUGUCGUGAGAUGUUGGGUUAAGUCCCGCAACGAGCGCAACCCUUGUCAUUAGUUGCCAUCAUUAAGUUGGGCACUCUAAUGAGACUGCCGGUGACAAGCCGGAGGAAGGUGGGGAUGACGUCAAGUCCUCAUGGCCCUUAUGACCAGGGCUUCACACGUCAUACAAUGGUCGGUACAGAGGGUAGCCAAGCCGCGAGGUGGAGCCAAUCUCACAAAACCGAUCGUAGUCCGGAUUGCACUCUGCAACUCGAGUGCAUGAAGUCGGAAUCGCUAGUAAUCGCAGGUCAGCAUACUG